GCCCGGAGGCGGGACCGGGGGCUGGCAGGGACCCAGCCACACAGAGGGAGCAGGUGGACGGCCAGGCAGCCCCUUCCCACAGCCCUGCUCCAGCCCCAUGAACCCAUGGCUUGGAUACACUGGCUGCUGUCUUCUGAGGAGCUGAUGUCUUUGUUCGGACACCCCCCCGAUGGCUCUGAUCUCCUCUCCUGACCCUUCCACAUCCAUCCCAGGACUCUCAUCUUCACGACCAGGAGCAAGAAUGCUUGCUGUCCCUUUGACAGCCUGUGCCAGCCAGCCACCAGUCACUUCGGAGUAUUUUCCUAUCACGUGUCUGCAUCUUGCUGGAUGAUCGGUGCCCUUGGUCUGUGGAAAUUCCCCUUGUUUCAUCCGUUGCUUUAUCUUGCUGGUCUUCAUCUAUCCAAGUCCUUGGCCACAUCCUACUCAUACCUUACUCUCAGUUCAUCUCAGCCUUCUAAAGGCUUAAAGAAGAGCAGAUUGAUUCACACGGAGGUACAGGCUGGCUGAAGUUGUCCUUGCUUGGGCUAUCUGGGAACCAUGGGCCGUCGGCUCUUACGGGGUCUCUCCGGAGCUGCAGUCUUUCUGGUUGGUGUGGCUCUCCUCUCUGUACGGCACCGUGGAGCUCAGGAAACCUCGGGGUACCCAGGGCUCAGGGAGCGGAUGCUGGAGAAUCCAGAGCAACAAACACACAAGAGCCCAGAGGAUGCCAAGGGAGGUGGUGGCACUGGGCAGGGAGACCUGCAAGUCCAUUCUCUGGACAAAUACAAGACUGAAGGGAACCUGACCCUUGGGGAUGUUUUCAUAGCUGUGAAAACCACCAAGAAAUUUCACCAGAGCAGGAUGGAGCUGCUCCUGGACACGUGGAUAUCCCGGGCAAGAGAGCAGACGUAUGUCUUCACAGAUGAAGAAGAUGAUGCCUUGAAGAGGAGAAUGGGUGACCAUGUGGUGUUCACCAACUGCUCUACCGAGCAUAGCCACUCAGCCCUCUCCUGCAAGAUGGCUGCAGAGUUUGAUGCAUUCCUGUCCAGUGACCAGAGCUGGUUCUGCCAUUUGGAUGAUGACAACUAUCUGAACCCUGAGGCCCUCCUGAAGCUCCUGUCCUCCUACUCUGCAGUGAAGGAUGUCUACCUAGGGAAACCCAGCCUGAACCGACCCAUUAGAGCCUCUGAAACACUGUCUAACAACCAGACGAAAUCUGUGCGUUUCUGGUUUGCCACAGGAGGAGCUGGGUUCUGCAUCAGUCGCAGGCUGGCAAGGAAGAUGAUGCCUUGGGCCAGUGGCAAGAACUUCCUAAGCACCUCAGAGCUCAUCCGUCUGCCAGAUGACUGCACCAUAGGUUACAUCAUUGAGUGCAAAGUUGGUGGGCAGCUACUGCCCAACAUGCUCUUCCACUCCCACCUGGAGAAUCUGCAACUCAUUCCCAGCUCUCAUCUCAUGCAGCAGGUCACACUCAGCUACGGUGUCUUUGAGAACAAGCUCAACAUUAUCAAACUCAGUGGUCCCUUCUCACCCCAGGAAGAUCCCUCAAGGUUUCGAUCUCUCCACUGCCAUCUCUAUCCUGAUACCCCCUGGUGCCUUCAGGCUGUUGGUUGGUGAUGCCCAAGCUACAGUGGGUACUGGUGAUAUCCCUUCACCUUGUGCAUGUAGGGGAUGGGGCACUGAAGAAGCUUGGUGCUCCCAGCUUCCCCUUAGUUAUGGUGGUCAGGGCUUUUUGGUCCUUGCUGACUACCAGUGGUACAGGACAAGAGAGAUCUGUACCAAAGAUGGAUAACAUGGGCUGGACACAUGGGUGGGGUUCCCAUCUGUGCUGGGGUGCUUAUGAGAGAUGGGAGCAGCAUGCUUUCCUGAACAGAUUAAGGACUGGGUGGUGACUGCUGGGCAUGUGUGUGGAGAUGAGACCCACUGCUCCUUGCUGUGGUUUCACUGUAUUGAAUCAGAAGGGUGCUGGAUCAGGGUACCCAGUGCCAGACUGAGGAUCACUGGAAGUGUGCCUUGGCUUCAGUCUCUCUGAGGCUUCUUUCUCUGCAUGUGCCUGGGCUUCCCCCAUUUCCCACUGUUCCCAGCUGCAGCCCUUUGGCUGAGUCUCUGCCUCGUUAAACUCUGAUUCUACUCUCCCUUCAGAAAUGGAAAAUGUGAUCAGUUCUGUGUUGAAUGAGUGCUGAAAAAACACAGCUCUUGGCCAUCAGAGGAGAGGUGGGCAAGAAACAUAAGAAAUCAAGAAUCAUUCCUUAGCUGGGACAACGGAGAGAGUACGAAAUGAGGAUCACAGGAGGAGAGAUGGAGAUGAGGAUGUUUUCUGCUUUAAGCACUGAAGACUUGAUCUUGUAUGGCCCUGCAUUAUUCCUCUCUUUUUACCUUCUUGAUAUGGGGUCAGGAUAAUCUUUUGCUCUAAUUAUCAACCUGUCGUCUGAGAUUAGACUCCAACUCCUACCUGUGAGAGAGGAGACAUAAAGGAUUAGAACUGGCUGAAAGAGAGGAGAAAGGAAGAGAUGGAGAAGGAGCGCUCGGGAGCGGAUUAGAGGUUACAGCUUUAUAAUCUUCUCUGUGCCCUGACCAAAAAAAAUUGAGUCAUGAAGGAAUGGAAACUGCAGGGCAAAGAGCUUUUUAUCUCUGCAUUUCUUUCUUCCAGAUGCUAAGAGCAGCUUUCUGCCUUCCUGCUAUCCCUGCUAAAGACAACAGGGAGAAGGAGCUAGUCCGAAUAGGCUACAGGCUUUUAGACAUGUUUAUGGAUAACCCCUUUCUCAGCACAGAUCCUACCAUGAAAGCUAGGCCAUUCCUCUCAAUGGGAAUGAACUUUGGCACCAUUUUGUGCUUGUACACAUGAAUAAAUGGCUGGGGAAGAGCAAUGCAGGGAAAGCUGGAAGGCAAAGGGGCUGUUUUACAUGGCAGGCAGCACCACAGUCAGAUAUUUCUCUUUAAAGAGUGCUUCAAAACAGACUGCUGGAAUCAGAGAGAGAUCCUGUAAUCUCUGGUUGAAAGGACACGUGCCCUUUCUCCAAAGAGCUGCUCAGCUUUGAUGCUGCUGAUUUGACUAAGCCUGCUGCAGGUGGGCUGGCAGAGCCAAGGGGGACUAUCGCUAUGCCUCUAUCAUGCUGGAAGCUGGUCACCCUAUUUUCCCAUCCCACCUCACCCCUCAGACACCAGCAUCUCCCGCACAGCUUGCAUGAGGCCUAAAGAAAAGGCAUCAGAAAGACCUUCAACCUCAUCAAAGAGGGACCUAGAAAUGAAUAAGCACUGUAAUUACCAAUGAAGAAGAAAGAGGGGGCCUGUGGAGCUGCUUUCCAGCCUGGUCGUUCUUGUGAGCUUUAGGCAGCUUGUGAAGCAGCUAAGAACCCUGCUUUCUUCUCUCGCACAACAUGUCUUUGAACAGGAAAUUCGUGCUGAGCAGUAGCAGGAACUACGUAAUGGCAGUGACCAUUCUGGGAGAAGUGCAAAGCGCUCAUCUCACACAGCCAUGUGAGACAUGGAGCUCAAAAUAGAGACAACCCAGGUAACAGACAAUCGGUGCAGCAUAAAAAAGUCCUGCCCAAAGGGCAAAUGAUUUUGUUUGAACUUAACUAGAAGAUGAAAAACACUUCCACGAGAAGAAAUAGAGGGAGCUGAUAUACAGAAGGAAAACAGAUUUCAGUGGACCAAUGUGAUCUACUGAGCUUGUACCAAGGCUGCAGCCACAGCUCCCUCCCCAAGCCUCUGGCUAAAGAUGCAGCCUUCCAAAGACUAGCAGUGUAUUAAACAGAAAGCAAAGGAUGAGAAAUGGGAAGAAAGGAGAUUGGAAGGAAACGAACAACCAAGCAGUAGAACUUGGAAGAGCUUUUUAAAGCCGGAGCUCCUGUGGCAGUGACAAGUCUGCCCACAGUUAAAUGGACCACAGCAGCUGGGGACUGAGUAGACGCGUCUGGAAGAAUAGCACUUGUGUUCCACCUUGUUCUCUAAGCUACACCAUGGCAUCCAGAAGAGCUCACAAAGUGUUUGGAGGAGGUGAUGGAUUUUCUGUUAGGCUGGAGUUGUCCUCUUUAAAGUGACAUUUACAUUUAUAUCAGACAAAGCUUUUUCUGGCCUGAGAUUCUUCCAUCAUUUUAGGCUAAUAGGCAGAAGAGGAUGGCUCCACAUUGUCUGGAGCUCAACAUUUAGAUGACUGUGGGAGGGGGAUACAGGGUAGUGCUCUCAGUGGUAUUCAGUGGAAAGCUGAGGGAAAGGGCAGCCCAGUUUUUACUUCGCAUUUGAUGCCAUCAGUUUAGUUUUUGCUUUGGUUUAACUGAGGCCAAGAAAGCCAUGGUUAUAUAUGGUACAUCCCAGUGCUUUCCUCAGCAGACAGCUGCCACGCACGGCAUUUCAAGACCACAAACAGUCCCAGAAAUGGUGGCAACACUGUGUACUAAGCUCAUGCUGAAGUUUUUUGGUAGUUUCCACAUCUAAGCAAUUUCAAUGUCUCCUUCCAGGGCAGGAUAAAGCACAGUUCCAUUUGCUGAGGCUGAUGAACACCUUUGUUUAAUUUCCUAAGAAAAAAUAAAUAAAUUCCUUCCACUGCAUGUGUUA